AUACGUAGGUGGCAAGCGUUGUCCGGAAUUAUUGGGCGUAAAGCGCGCGCAGGUGGUUCCUUAAGUCUGAUGUGAAAGCCCCCGGCUCAACCGGGGAGGGUCAUUGGAAACUGGGGAACUUGAGUGCAGAAGAGGAUAGUGGAAUUCCAAGUGUAGCGGUGAAAUGCGUAGAGAUUUGGAGGAACACCAGUGGCGAAGGCGACUGUCUGGUCUGUAACCGACACUGAGGCGCGAAAGCGUGGGGAGCAAACAGGAUUAGAUACCCUGGUAGUCCACGCCGUAAACGAUGAGUGCUAAGUGUUAGGGGGUUUCCGCCCCUUAGUGCUGCAGCUAACGCAUUAAGCACUCCGCCUGGGGAGUACGGUCGCAAGACUGAAACUCAAAUGAAUUGACGGGG
rnacentral:rRNA from 1 species